UUUACUGUAAUGUGUUCAAAACACAAUACCUUUGUGCGGUUAGUAGAUCGCCGUAAUCUGAUCACCGUCGGGAGAGUCUGAUCAUUAUGAUAUAGCCACAUAGUAUGUUUGACCUCUGUGAAUCAUCCACACGAAGCUCCCGAUCUGAUCGACUCCUCAUGAGUGCUAGCUCGUUGUAGAGCCCUUUCGACGGUCGAUGCUGAUCGAACUCCUUCGAUCGAUGUCUGCCAAUUCUUUGGAUCCUCUGGAUCAUCAGCAGAUGUGCUUGAGAGAAUGUUGAAGAUCUCUCUAAAAUUUGGUGGGCUCACGACACUCGUAGCUCACCAUCUCACUUCCCGAA
rnacentral:lncRNA from 1 species